CCAAUAGCCAGGCAGGAGAAAGGAUGGGCGGGGCUGGCAGGCAGAGAGAAUAAAUAGAAGAAUUCUGGGAAGAAGGGAUCAAAGGGCGAGAAAAGAAGGGGCUAGCCACACAGCCAGACAUGGAAUAAGAGGGAAAGAAAGAUACAGAAUAGAGAAAGAUAAAGCCCCAAGGCAAAAGGUAGACAGAACAAUUUAAGUUAAGAAGAGCUGACUGAAGAAAAUAAGCCAAGCUAAGGCUGGGCAUUCAUAAGAAAGAAUAUGUUUUCAUGUGAUUAUUUGGGAGCUGGGUGGUGCACCCGCCCCCCCACCCCCAAGAACUAAGAGUAAAAGAGUAAGAAAACAAAAGCAAAAAGAACUACACGGAACGUGCUUUCCCUGUUCCGCCCCCAACCCCCCAGCGUUAGAGAGUAAGAUGCCCUGGGCCAUUGCUCUGCCUCUGAGUCACACCUCCAGCUCUCAAUGCUCCGGUGGGAGACUGUGCAGGCGCACAUCCUUUAGUGAGGACCAAGGAAAGUCCCAAGAAGACAGCGUGCUUGAGGAGCCAGGUGGGGUCUGUUCUAGAUCUAACAGGAGGUGAACUGGAGUGGUGCAAUUUGCAAAUUUGCAUUUCUGAGCACCUUGCAUUCACACUCCUGCUUCCAGUCGGGCAGUGCAGAGCUGUAGAAAUAGGACAAAGCCCAGAUGUUCCUGCCCUCCCACUCUCUGGGGGGGGGGGCAUUGAGCAGAGCCAUGUGAGUGCCAAGAGAGAAGGUAUCCAGCACUUCCUGGCUCUCCUGGCAGGAGGAUGGAGAGUGCUAUCGGGUAAAUCCUGCAAGGCAGGGUGGGGCUGCAGGCUCCAGUGUGCCAGACAGACCCAGGCCAAAUCAUUUCCCGGCUCUGGGUCAGUUGUCUGUCGGAAGAUCUUCCCAGUGUUGCCCAGCUGGUGACCAGGUUCUGGUCCUGGGCUCCCUGCUGUCUCUAACUUCCUGAGGAGUGCCAUGGCGCCCUCACGUCUUCCCGUGGCUCUUUAUGACCUGCAGGGUCUGUGCAAGGCUAGCGACUUCUGUCUCGAAGAUAACCACGGCCGUCAUUGGUCUGAACGAGUGAUGUCCCCCGUAGGUCACAUACUUUGCGUACUUGGUUUCCCGUUAGUCAUGUGUUUUGGGGGGUGUCACAGGGAUUUAGGGGGUGCAGCCUUACAGGAGGAAGCACGUCACUGGGUAUGGGGUGGGCUUUGGGGGUCACAGACUCCUCUCCACUUCCUGUGUGCGACUGAGAUGUCAUUUCAUAGCCACCUGGUGUCACACCUCCUCCUCUGUGAUGGGCAUCCCCUCUGGAACUAUAAGCCAGAAUAAACAGGAGGAUUCGUCACAGCAACAACAAACCCACAGCCUCCCAGGGGCAAACAGAGGCCCCAGAGCUUGGGUGGCGAUGGGAAGGCUGGGGGCUGGACCUACACCUGUUUCCAGGACACUUGGGUCCUCUUGUGACCCCUUUCCACCUGGUGCUAUUUUAGGCUUUCCUCCGUAGCUGGCGGCUCCCAUGGGGAGGACUUCUUGCCAAGAGUGGCCUCUGCAAUGACAGACUAAGCACAGAAGGCCCGGCUAGAAGGAUGACACGCCCCUUCUCCAGCUGGGAGCGAAGCUGAGCGAGGAUGCUUAUGGACCAUAUGUCCAGGAAGCCAAAAGCAGAGGUCAAGUCUAUGGCCUCACACGGAGAGACUGAGAAGGUCUGUGACCGGAGAUGCUUCAUGGAAUGGACCAUACAGCAGGCCAGCAAAGUAAGGAGCCCUCUUGGGUCCAGGGUCUUUGGGGUCAGGGAGGUUGAAGGUGAGUGGGAGAGAGCAGGAUGAUGGUCUCGAAUGUGGACCCUGGCCAAGAGAAGGGAAGAUGCUGUGGAUUCUCUGCUCCCUCAGUCGUAGAAGCCACUGCAAAGACGACGUAGGACCGCCCUCUUUGGACCUGAUGCCAGCUGCUCUGGCUGGUCAGGGCUGGCCCCAGUUGGCACAGGGUGUCAGCUCUCUUGGAAGGGACAGGAUGCCAUUCGGGAAUCCUGCUGCCCUUGCUUACAGUGUGACUAGCCACAUAGAAUUUUGGCUAUGGUUUUCUUAGCCUUGAACUUCAACCCUCAGUGGGUAUCAGUGGAGUCCUCUGGCAUGGAGUUCAUAUGAGUGGUAAUUACCUACCCUAUUGUCUUCACAGGGUUGGGACACCCCAAUCCAAUUUGUUUAUCCUCUCUGUGACCUCAGCUAACAUAGCUUCUUCUCAAAGAACUGUCCCAACCCUUGAGAAGUUUGGCAGGCUUGUGAAUCUCUUUGGAAAGUAGUGAAAAUAGCAUACCGUCUACUGUCUUUAUUUCUGCUAAGUGCCUGCAGGACCAGAGGAAACGAACCCAAACUGGAGCAGGAGAGGGACAUCAGUGGCCUGCUCUAAAGGUUCCUCCACUCAUUGGUGUGCUCUCUCUUCUUAUAGGCCACCAAGCAUGACUAACUGGUCCUGCUUUGAUGGGCAUACUGCCCUGGAGCGGAUGGCUGAGCAAACUCAAUUCUCCCUGCCAGGCAGACAAGCAAGGACAGCCACCAAAGGCUGUCUUCAUACACCCCUGAGCAAAGACAUCCCUGUUCCUGCCACACCAUGCCGCCCAGCCCCCUGCCCUCCGGUCUGUACCCUAGGUUUACAAGCUCAUGAGCCGGAGUCUAGAGUUCUCUAGAAUUCCUUGUAAAUCACGCCAGUGACACAAGCAUUCUAGAGGCCGACGUAAGCUGUGCUAAGGUCCAGAGAAAGCUUUGGAGGUGGUAGGAGGGCAAAGGAAGCAGAGGUGUUUCGUCUGUGCCAGGAGGAGGCUGGGUUCGGAGCAGACAAGGAGCUGAUCCUGGGAGUCAAAGUGCAGAGGAAGGAGCAAGAUGACGUAGCUCGGAUUGUGAUGCAAACCCAGAUGCCCAUGGAGCCAGGAGGCACCCGGACUCUGUCAGCUUGCGCCCAGAGGGCACCGGUGUGGUAUGGAAGGGCUGGGGGUGCACCCUUGUCUGAUGCUCCUGGAAGGGACAGGCUAAAGGUGGUCUAAGCUCCUGCUGCUUCAAGGAAAAGCCAGGAUCUAGGCUUCUGCAGAAUCCUAAUUUCUUAAAUUCAGCAGUUAGUACAUAUUUGAAAGCUAAGACAAUACCUCUGUAGUUGCACUCAGUUUCUGGGCUUCGUGCGCUGACCCCUGGCCUCCACAAGCUGCUAUGACUGGAUUCUGUGGGCUGGGCAGCCCCCUGCCUCAGCAUUUGAUGUCUGCCCACUUUUGGCUCAGUCCCUAGGAUGCUGUGGGAUUUGUCCCCACACUUGGCUAAGAAAAUAGCAUUCUUUCCCCAAACUUAGACUUGGCAGGUGGGUGGAUUUCUGGUUUGGGUGUUGAAUCUUAAAAAAAUGAAGAACACACCUGAUAUGGAAAUGCCAUUUCUCCUCACGCAUGUUGCCACUCUUUGGAGUCUAGGAGGGCCUCACGAUGCUCAGAGUCUUUUAGGUCAAGGCAAGGGUGACCUUGUCAACCUGCUCUCAUUUCGGGGCCCACAGAUGAGCGUUCAGUAGUAGGGUUUUGUUGUUUUUGUUUGUAAAAGUCGCACAGACCGAAGACAAACCUGCCUGGAACUAAUGUCAGCAUGUUCCUUAUAUCCCUGGGACUGCCUUUCUUUCUAGUGAGUGGUCUCAAUUGAAACCAUUCGCCAUCAUCAGACACGUUUUAUAACUGCAUGAUCGCUCUAGGCUCAGGGGCCCCAGACACAGGGAUGCAGCUGGGAAUGUGCAGUGAGAUUGAAUGGGGUGAUGUCAGAGAGGGGACUGUGGGAGUGGGACUUCCGCUCAGGGUACCACUGAGUGCUGAGCUCUGAUGGACAGGAAGGGACAGAUUCCCCCAUGUUCUGAUUCCCAUCCUUGGGUGUGCCCGGAGAGGCCGGAGAGUUGGGGGGGGAUGCACCUGUACACAGGCCGGUUUCUAGAAAAGGAAGCUCCAGGGAGCCAUAGGCAACAGGCUUCCCCAGGGCGAGUCCGGGCUGUAGCCAAGGAUGGGAAACCUUUUGUGAGGCUUGCUGGAGUGUGAGUGUUGGCUCAAGAUGGUGGCCUCUGGGACACCAGACCACGACUGGCUCUUACAGAUCGCUAGGGGAAUUCGCCCAGGCUUUCCUGCACUGGGCUUCAAGUUCCACCUCAGGAGCCAGCACUGAACACCAGAAGCGCACACGGAGUUUAAGUCUGUUUUGCGGCUCGCCAGCUGUGCGGCCCGAGUCGACUUUGGCAGCUGCAGUUUCUCACCCAGCGAAAGAGAGACGCGCGCUGGCCUUGUGCUGCACGGAGCUGCGUCAGCACAAACCUCCAUUCGAGGGUGGCUCAGACAGUAGCGUCUGCAUAAGAAAACUCAGUGGACAUUCACUGCUUCCCCGCUGUCCUCCCUCAGGCAGCCAUUGUAGAUGGACCUGCCCAAAUCUUGGAUUUGCUCUCUUUCUGAAGAGGCUCACCAAAUGCUCACUGUACACCCUCGCUGCAAGUGGGGGUGGGCUUCUACGAGACUACUGUGGGAACAAGGUCCUAGAAAGUAGGCCAACCAGCAGCUGGAAUAGAGGACCCCUCCUGCCCUGCACACGGAAAGAGAGUGAUGCUGGAUGAGGAGAGACACGGAUACAGGCGAUGGAUGGUCUGCCAGGAUGCCCGUGAUGCCCCAAACACUGCUAGGCACUGGGGAUGCUUGUGUAGGUACCACCCCCCCCACCUCCACAACAUGGAGGAUGGUUCCGUCCCAUCAGCAAAUGUGAAGGCACAGAAUGAGAUGUUUUAAAGAGAGAAUCUGAGGGAGGUACAGGAGAAACUGUUCAGAAAAAUACCAGAAUAUCUGAAAGACUUAAUUCAGGGAGAGAAUAAAGGAAGUGCCUUUUUCGCCUGCUCUAUCAUAAACAUACAGGGCUUCUCAUGAUACGGGCUCACAAUAAUUGCUAUAAGCCUAGACAAAUUCAAUGGUGACUUGACAAUGGGUCAGUGAGGGGGCCACGCUGGCCUUUAGGAAAUGAGUAUCAUGGGAGCAGCCUCCAGCAUCUGCACCACACCAUCUCAUAUGGGGUCUGCUGCUUCUUCCAGAGGGACACAGAUAGACAGUCACGGGGACACAGGUGGGCAGGAAACAUGAGACCUUGCUACUCUGGGAGAGAUCGUCUAUACCAGAAGGUGCAGGCACCUCUUGAGGGGAGUUUGAUGGGUGGAAGAAUAUUGUUCUGGUCCAGCCACAAGCCCCCGCUCCCUGGUGAUGUUAUUCCUGGUAUAGUGAGCAGGGAUGAACAGGACAAUUUCCAGGAGAGACCUAGGAGGGGUUCUGAACCCCCAGUGGCUGGGAUUCACCCAUGCUCUCUGAUUUGAGCAUUGUUCUGCUGGCCUCCAGAAGGAAAUCAUGUCCUGGGAAAAUGAAGUGUCAGGUGUAAAUUUAGAGCAAGAGAGUAGAAAAAGUUCCCAGCAAUAAGGAGGGUAUGACAUGCAGUGGCAGGGGAGGGACUCUGGUUACUCGUGUGUGUGUG